CGCUCGAUCUCGGCGUAGAUGUACGUACUUUGGUAGUCUGUUUGGCGAUUUGUAGUCCACUACUAGUAGUAUAAUUUUCGCAUGCUGCAUGGAUUUUCCCUUGGAAUUGGCCCGAUGAUGAUUCGCUGAAACCCCCAAUGCGGGGAUGUGGAUGGACAGAUCGGCUCAGAUCUGAGCUCGAAAACGGAUCAGAAAUGGCUAAUGCGGCGCUGGCUACUCUGUUCUGGGCGCUGAGGCCUGUGUCUGGGUCAGCCGUUGCUUCCGCUGAAGCUCUGCCACUGACCUAGGGCCGGCCCUUGUUGAGGUCGCUCUACCUCUCCGUCCUCCUCCUCCUCCUCGUCGCCGCCGCACUUUUGCCAUGGCCUCGCCUCGCCUCGCUGCUUCUUUUGGUUCACCCAGACAUGCCCCAGUGCCAGCUUUGGAGCCCGCCGCACUAGCCUGCGAUGAAAACUGAAAUCUGAGGGCCAUAUUGUGAUACAGAAUUCUCAGUAUUUUCUUCUGAAUUGAACUCUUUUGCACUGUAAUAUAGACAGCUUCUGCACAUUGUGUUUAUGUGUUAUAUUCUGGUGUGGUAUGCAAUGCAAUGGUGGAAUGGAAUGCCAUCUUACAAUGUCUGGAGCACUCCUUGGCUAGUGAUUUGGUAGGAUAAUUAAUCGAUUGCACUGAAUCACCCGCGCUAAUCUCCUAUUGCUAUUUUCCUCCUUGUUUCCUUCGGCUUUCUGGUGGUUUGAUGCUUUGUUCUGAUGGUUUGUUUUGUGCAUUUGUAGUGUAUACUAUGUUUCACUUGUUGCAUGGAUUUUCCUUUCUCCUGGCCUGAUGAUGAUUAGGGCGAAAGGUCCAUAUGGGGAUGGAUAGAUGGAUCGAUUGAUCGGCUCAGGUUUGAGCUUGAAAUGGGAUCAGCCGUUGCAUUCGCAAGGUUGAAGACCCUGAAAUGGCUAAUACAGUGCCGGCCUUCUCUGUUCUAGGCGCUGAGGCAUGGGUGCUUGGGUUAGCCGUUGCUUUUGCUCAAGCUCCGCCACUGACUGUUGGGAUGUUUCCCUUCUUCCUUCUCUUCCUAUCAGCUCAUGUGUCACCGUGGUGACACAGCUGUUGCCGCCGUCAUCGUCGUUGUCAUCACCAUCACCACCACCGCCUCGUCUUCUCUAUUGGUCCACCCAGACUCGUCACUGUGCCAGCUUUGAAGCCUGCUGCAUUAGCCUAUGAUGAACCUGAAUUCUGAGGGCCAUGUUGUAAUACGAAUUCUCGGGAUUUUCAUUUGAAUCGAACUCUUUUGUGUGGACUCACUGUAAAACAGCCAGCUUGCACAUGGUGUUAUACUGUUGUGUAGUGUGCAAUGGUGUAACGCGAACUCACAAUGUGUGAAGCAGUGCUUUGGGCCAUGCAUAUGCGCCUGUCUGUCUUUGCCGAGAUCUAGGCUAGUGUUUUGGUAAGAUGCUGGUCACACUGAAUGAGCCACACCCAUCCCUCGUGUGUUAGAUAUGAUGGCGUAGAAUCACACUGACAGAUCUUACCAGUCCAUCUGAGGUUCAUUUUUUGUACAUCUAUAUUCUUGUUUUUAUUUCUUUUACCUUAUUCUAUCUAUGUCAUGUGUCAUCUCAAGAACUGUUCAUUUGCCAUUCGUGAAUGCAAGUUGGCUCUUUUGUAGAAAAUAUGACAUGCUUUUGCUAAAGAAAUAGUGAUUAAAAUACUUUUGAUUUCUUUUCUGUUUUUCUUUCAGUUACUUCUCUUAGCAGUUUAAUCUCAUAUUACAUCUUCCAUUUAAUAAGAUCCCAACUGUGAAAUUUUGGCUUUGCACCAAAAUUUCUGUUUUGAGUUUUUGACUAUAUCAUGAUGGUAUUUUUUCGGGAUGGUGGUUAGAAGCAUGUAUUGCCUAAUGAUGAAAACUAAUGUCAAGAGAUGGCACAUGACANNNNNNNNNNNNNNNNNNNNNNNNNNNNNNNNNNNNNNNNNNNNNNNNNNNNNNNNNNNNNNNNNNNNNNNNNNNNNNNNNNNNNNNNNNNNNNNNNNNNNNNNNNNNNNNNNNNNNNNNNNNNNNNNNNNNNNNNNNNNNNNNNNNNNNNNNNNNNNNNNNNNNNNNNNNNNNNNNNNNNNNNNNNNNNNNNNNCGUACAUUGGCAGAGAAUCUACCUUUCUUCAUGCCCUUACGGGUGAAUUGAAGAUCAUCUCUUGUGCCAUCAAUGAAUGCUACAUAUUUGAACAUGUGAAGGCACAGGCUUCAUUUUCAUAUCACAAAUUAUUGGCGAAGUUAUGUUUGACAUAUUUAUUUGGUUUCAUCUUCCAGAUCUGUAUAUAUUUGGUUGAUGCAAACCCUUCAUUUGCACUAUUAUUUCUUAUGCUUAGAUUAUGUUAAGUGUUCACUUCUAUACAUCGCCCGAUGAUGAAAAUUGAAAAUGUAGAGAUGGCACUUGGACAUGAUCCUCUCCUCCCUGUUCUCCUCCUCCUCCUCCUCCUCCUUCUCUCUCUCUCUCUCUCUCUCUCUCUCUGCGUGAUGCGUAAUGGCACAUGCAGCAGCAGCAGCAGCAGCAGUUCACACCAGAUCAAUCUUUCACUUGCCUUAUGGACAAAAGGGAGAUCAUUUCUUGUGCCAUCAAUGAAUGCUACAUCUAUGGCACCUGAGGGCACGACGUUUCUUUACCUUACAUUAAUAACCGACAAAAUUUGCAUGGAUAUUAUUUUCAAUUUCAUCUUCCUUCAAUAGCAUUGCUGUCUCUUACGUUCAGAUUUUGCAUUAUUUUCGCUUUUUCCUUUUGCUUCAUCAUUUUUGUGCAUUUGUUGUGGUUCCAUCUGAUUAUAAUUAAGUUUGCUCUGUGAUUUCUUCAUUACUUUUGUAGUACCUUCUUAGCUUGUUGUUUUGCGUUUCACCUCAGUGGAGGAAAACCUUUGGUGUUUCAUGAUUUAUCACGACUGAUCACUGUUGUAAAUCAGCUUGCAUUUGAGUUUCGAUCUCGAAGUGUAGCCCUUUACCAGGGUGAAGGUUUUGAAAUGGCCAAAGUAUUGUUGGUUUCUGUCUGUAAUGUUUAUUAGUGGUUUUAAGUUAGUAUUCUGGUUAUGAUUUGUGCUUCAAAAUUGCCCAUCUCCUACGUCUAUUUCCCCCUUCGAUUCCUUUGGCUCUCCGGUGGUUUGAUGCUUUGUUCCGGUCGAUCUCGGUGUAGAUGUACUUUGGUCGUAGUCUGUUUGGUGCUUUGUAGUCUACUAGUAGUACUAUAUUUUCCGCAUGCUGCAUGGAUUUUCCCUCGGAUUGGCCCGAUGAUGAUUAGGCUGAAACCCCCAAUGCGGGGAUGUGGAUGGAUGAAUAGAUAGAUAGAUCGGCUCAGAUCUGAGCUCGAAAAGGGAUCAGUCGUUAAGUUGCAAGGUUGAAUGAAGCCCCUGAAAUGGCUAAAUGCGGCGCUGGCUUCUCAGUUCUAGGCGCUGAGGCCUGUGUCUGGGUCAGCCGUUGCUUCCGCUGAAGCUCUGCCACUGACCUAGGGCCGGCCCUUGUUGAGGUCUGCCUCUCCGUCCUUCUCCUCCUCCUCGUCGCCGGCGCACUUUUGCCAUGGCCUCGCCUCGCCUCUUCUUUCGGUUCACACAGACGCGUCCCAGUGCCGGCUUUGGAGCCCGCCGCAUUAGCCUACGAUGAAACCGAAAUCUGAGGGCCAUGUUGUGAACAGAGUUCCUGGUAUUUUCGUCUGAAUCGAACUCUUCUGCACGGUCGCACUGUAAAAAGACAGCUUCUGUACAUUGUUUUAUAUUGUAGUGUAGUAUGCAAUGUUGGAAUGGAAUGCCAUCUUAUUGGUAAGAUAAUUAAUCGAUUACACUGAAUCACCUGCGCUAAUCUCCUAUGGGUAUUUUUCUCUUUGUUUCCUUCGGCUUUCUGGUGGUUUGAUGCUUUGUUCUGAUCGAUCUCGGCUUAAAUUUACUUUGGUGGUUUGUUUUGCGCAUUUGCAGUGUAUGCUAUGUUUUCGCUUGUUGCCUGGAUUUUCCUCUCUCAUGGCCUGAUGAUGAUUAGGGUGAAAAGGCCCAUGUGGGGAUGGAUAGAUAGAUCGAUUAAUCGGCUCAGGUUUGAGCUUGAAAUGGGAUCAACUGUUGCAUUUGGAAGGAAAGCCCCUGAAAUGGCUAAUACAGUGCUGGCCUUCUCUGUUCUAGGCGCUGAGGCAUGUGUGCUUGGGUUAGCCAUUGCUUUUGCUCAAGCUCCGCCACUGGCUGAUGGGAUGUUUCCCUUCUUCCUUCUCUUUCUACCAGCUCAUGUGUCACCAUGGUGACACAGCUGUCGCUGCCGUCUCGUCGUUGUCACCACCACCAUUGCCUGGUCUUCUCUAUCGGUCCACCCAGACACGUCACAGUGCCAGCUUUGAAGCCCGCUGCAUUAGCCUUUGAUGAACCUGAAAUCUGAGGGCCAUGUUGUAAUACGAAUUCUCAGGAUUUUUAUUUGAAUCGAACUGUUUUGUGUGGACUCACUGUAAAACAGCCAGCUUGCACAUGAUGUUAUACUGUUGUGUAGUGGGCAAUGCUGGAACGCCAACUCACAAUGUCUAAAGCAGUGCUUUGGGCCAUGCAUGUGCGCCUGCAUGUCUUUGCCGAGAUCUAGGUUAGUGUUUUGGUAAGAUAAUUAACUGGUUGCACUGAAUUAGUCACACCCAUCCGUCGUGUGUUAGAUAUGAUGGCGUAGGAUCACACUGACAGAUCUUACCAGUUCAUCUGAGGUUCAUUUUUUGUACAUCUAUAUUCUUGUUUUCGUUUCUUUUGCCUUAUUCUGUGUCAUGUGUCAUUUCAAUAACUGUUAAUUUGCCAUUCGUGAAUGCAGGUUGGCUCUUUUGUAGGGAAUAUGACAUGCUUUUGCUAAAGAAAUAGUGAUUAAACACUUUUGAUUUGUUCUCCGCUGCAUUGCCCUGUCUCCUACGUCUAUUUACCCCUUCGAUUUCUCUGGCUUUCCGGUGGUUUGAUGCUUUGUUCCGGUCGAUCUCGGCGUAGAUGUACUUUGGUAGUCUGUUUGGUGAUUUGUAGUAUAUUUUCGCAUGCUGCAUGGAUUUUCUCUUGGAUUAGUCCGAUGAUGAUUAGGCUGAAACCCCCAAUGCAGGGAUGUGGAUGGAUGGGUAAACAGAUAGAUCGGCUCAGAUCUGAGCUCGAAAAGCGAUCAGCCGUUGUGUUGCAAGGUUGAAGCCCCUGAAAUGGCUAAUGCGGUGCUGGCUUCUCUGUUAUGGGCGCUGAGGCCUGUGUCUGGGUCAGCCGUUGCUUCCGCUGAAGCUCUGCCACUGACCUAGGGCCGGCCCUUUUUGAGGUCUACCUCUCCGUCCUUCUCCUCCUCCUCCUUGUCGCCGUCGCACUUUUGCCAUGGCCUCGCCUCGCUUCUUGUUUCGGUUCACCUAGACACGCCCCAGUGCCAGCUUCGGAGCCCGCCGCAUUAGCCUACGAUGAAACUGAAAUCUGAGGGCCAUGUUGUGAUGCAGAAUUCCCGGUAUUUUUGUCUGAAUCGAGCUCUUCUGCACGGUCACACUGUAAAACAGACAGCUUCUGCACAUUGUGUUAUAUUCUAUAGUGUAGUAUGCAAUGGUGGAAUGGAAUGCCAUCUUACAAUGUGUGGAGCACUCCUAGGCUAGUGAUUUGGUAGGAUAAUUAAUCGAUUGCACUGAAUCACCCGAGCUAAUCUCCUAUUGGCUAUUUUCCUCUUUGUUUCCUUCGGCUUUCUGGUGGUUUGUUGCUUUGUUCUAAUCGAUCUCGGCUUAAAUUUACUUUCAUGGUUUGUUUGUGCAUUUGUAGUGUAUAUACUAUGUUUUCGCUUGUUGCAUGGAUUUUCCUUUCUCUUGGCCUGAUGAUGAUUAGGGUGAAAGGCCCAUGUGGGGAUGGAUAGAUAGAUCGAUUGAUCGGCUCAGGUUUGAGCUUGAAAU
rnacentral:lncRNA from 1 species